rnacentral:rRNA from 1 species
GAUAAACGCUGGCGGCGUGCCUAAAACAUGCAAGUCGAACGGGCACUUCGGUGCUAGUGGCGAACGGCUGAGUAACACGUGGGUGACCUACCCUCGAACGGGGGAUAACUGCCCGAAAGGGUGGCUAAUACCGCAGAUGUCGAUCAUUCGGUUGGUCGACUGAACUUCCGGGGUUUGAGGAGGGGCCCGCGGCCGAUUAGCUAGCUGGUGGGGUAACGGCCUACCAGGGCGACGAUCGGUAGCUGGUCUGAGAGGAUGAUCAGCCAGACUGGGACUGCGAACGGCCCAGACUCCUACGGGAGGCAGCAGUUAGGAAUUUUGGGCAAUGGGCGAAAGCCUGACCCAGCAACGCCGCGUGGGUGAUGAAGGCCCUCGGGUCGUAAAGCCCUUUUCCCAGGGAAGAUAGUGACGGUACCUGGGGAAUCAGCCCCGGCUAACUACGUGCCAGCAGCCGCCGUAAAAC